rnacentral:rRNA from 1 species
AGUGAACGCUGGCGGUAGGCCUAACACAUGCAAGUCGAACGGCAGCACAGGAGAGCUUGCUCUCUGGGUGGCGAGUGGCGGACGGGUGAGUAACGCGUGGGUAACCUGCCCUAUGCAGGGGGAUAACGUUUGGAAACGAACGCUAAUACCGCAUAACCUAGUUGGUUCGCAUGAACUGACUAGCAAAGAUUUUAUCGGCAUAGGAUGGACCCGCGUUAGAUUAGCUAGUUGGUGAGAUAACAGCCCACCAAGGCGACGAUCUAUAGCCGGCCUGAGAGGGUGAACGGCCACACUGGGACUGAGACACGGCCCAGACUCCUACGGGAGGCAGCAGUGGGGAAUAUUGCACAAUGGGCGCAAGCCUGAUGCAGCGACGCCGCGUGAAGGAUGAAGGUCUUCGGAUCGUAAACUUCUAUCAGCAGGGAAGAAUACCAUGACGGUACCUGACUAAGAAGCCCCGGCUAACUACGUGCCAGCCGCCGCCGUAACAC